AUGUAUGUCAUGACAAGUUCUCUUUAACUUUUGUAGUCACUUCAUGUUGCUUUUAGUUCGGAAGUUGCAAUGUAAAUGUGUUGGCAUGUUGAAAUCACUCAACUAUCUUCUGUAGGCAAAGAUAUAUUUUUUUCAUUCAUUUCUUACUUUAAAGCAUGCCAUUAAAUUUCCAUUUGCUUCACAUGGUUUAGUGGGUCAAGGAUUUAUACAACUACCUGGCAUACAAUAAUAUUGUGAGCCAGUUGAGAAAAAUAGUUUUGUACCAUUUAAGUUCUAAUUCGUUACUGUUUUUCUGAUCCACGUCCUUACUACCUCUAUUUUGUGUUUGUAUUUUGUCUCACAGGUGAUCAGAACUGACUAUUGCAAUUAUUGAGCCACUCUCAUGUGUGCUAUUUUUACUCAUAAUCUGAUUUCUCUAUUAGAUUAUUGCUCUCAGCUGACUAAUACUCGGUGAUAUUCCAAACUUAUAUUUCCCAAUGUUACAGCCCCAAGUAUUAGUUUUUCGUUUAAUUUAUUCAUCAGUGUGUUUAAAAACUUUCUACUUCUGCAACCUGGCUAUAACAAAUUAUGCAGUGGCCACCAUAGUACUAAUUGAGCAACUGAUUCUUGCAACAGAUGCUAUCAAUAUUUAUGUUGAUGCCAGAUUCAAUAAAAUGCCUAGCUCAUGGAGCUAUCAUCUGAGGACACGGGUAGCACGUGGUUUCAGAUUCUCUAUUGUUUCUAUAUAGUCCAUAACGUCUACUGAGGUUCGCCUCUAAGCAUUCGGUUUUUCUUUACCCUAUCUCUUUGAUUGGCGGAGAAACAUUCGUGGACAUGUUGCUUAACUAUAUGUGUGCAUCAUGUGAAAGAAAAAGCUAGACAUCAGGCAACCUCGGUGAAUGCACUUUGUUCGACAUAAAACAGGAGCAUAAAAGAGAGACAUGGUUGAGCUCACCAUGCUCUCUAGACGGAAUCAUCACAAAGGUCGCAGAAGCUGCUAGGACAUUCUGGUUGGACUUUCAAAAGAAAACUCUAGAAGGAAAGAAAGCCCAUCUUAUGGACUGUUGCAUCUACGAAAAAAGUAUGAGAAUUUAUUGGAGUUACUGUACACACGUGCUAUACUUCCGUGGGGCAACCUUAUGAAUCAAGCAGUGCGGUGACGAUGUUAACAUGUUUUUAUGGACGUGACAGGGAGAAGGCUAUCGAGUUAAUGUUUUACCCAGCGACUUUUCAUGCGAAAGAUGGGUAGCACACGACAAGAUGUCUUCAAGUUGCAGGAUGAUCUAGCACGUCGAUAUUAUGUGAUUCUAGACUCCAAGAGUUGUUUCGCUGCGAGAGUAUUCCGAUUUGAGGUCAACACUUCAUCUAAAGGACAUAGCAUAUCUUCAUUCACUGCUUUUGGAUUACAGUGCUGCCACAUAGGCCUAACUUCACACAUUAUGGUGUUCUUGCCAAAAUGUAGAGGGUAGCAUGUGUAGCUCUCUUCCCGGUAUUCUAGAUUAUGGACUGUGUGGAACAAGGUCAUAUUAUUUGUGGUAGCCAGUAAGUUUCUCUAAUAAUUGCAAGAAGUGGUUUCGUUUCAAUGGAUACUAAGCAUCAUGUAUCUAUAUUAGGCUAUAUGGAUCAUUCGUAUGAAAAUCUUUUAUACUUAUUUGACACAUGCGAGAGAAAUGUUGCUGAAAAAAUAGAGAACUUUUAUUCGUCCCAAAGUAGUUUGUAUGGAUAAGUAGACAGUGCAGAAAUCUGACUUAUUGACUUUAGUUCCAAAUCAUUGAAAGUAAUAGUAAAAAUGUCGUGUUUUGAAGAAAUAAAUUACAUCAUCUCACUAAUAUGUGUUUUGAGUCUGCGAAGCAAAGUUAAAUGUAUAUAAUUUCCAUGUACUGCAAUCUGAAUAUUUGUAGCUUAUGUUCAUUCGAAUAGGUUUCAUCUUUCAUGGUAUGCUAGCUAAUAGAAAUUUACUUUUUUCUGAUAUGAUGCAUUGUUAACUUAGAUGGAAAUUCAUAACUAUAAAGCUUCAACUACAUAUUCCGAACAAGGUGAUAUUGAAGCUUGGACAUACCAGAGAUCAACCCGUCGAGAAGCAUGUAUAUACCAGGAAACCAAAGAAUCAGCCUAGAAGUAUGCAUUUUGUCCAGAACAAGCAGUGCACCUGCAAUAGAAAAUAUUAGCCACCUAUCUACCACUGCCACAAGUAUCUAUGUGAGCUCCAAGGAAAAACACUUAGUUACUAUGGAUCACUGCUGGAGUACUGUACUAUCGACAAUCGCUCUGUAAUUCUAAGGCCCUUCUCUUUCCGCA